UACGGGGGGGGCAAGCGUUGUUCGGAAUUACUGGACGUAAAGGGCUCGUAGGCGGCCAAUUAAGUCAGACGUGAAAUCCCUCGGCUUAACCGGGGAACUGCAUCUGAUACUGGAUGGCUUGAGUUCGGGAGAGGGAUGCGGAAUUCCAGGUGUAGCGGUGAAAUGCGUAGAUAUCUGGAGGAACACCGGUGGCGAAGGCGGCAUCCUGGACCGACACUGACGCUGAGGAGCGAAAGCCAGGGGAGCAAACGGG
rnacentral:rRNA from 1 species